AGGACAAACGCUGGCGGCGUGCAUAAAACAUGCAAGUCGGACGAGCCAAUCCUCGCAAGGGGAAAGGCUAGUGGCGAACGGCUGAGUAACACGUAGGUGAUCUGCCCUGAAGUGGGGGAUAACGACUCGAAAGAGUCGCUAAUACCGCAUGUGACCACCGAUCCGUUUUCGGUGCUCAAAGUCGUAAGACGCUUUAGGAGGAGCCUGCGGCGGAUUAGCUAGUUGGUGAGGUAAUGGCCCACCAAGGCUUCGAUCCGUAGC
rnacentral:rRNA from 1 species